rnacentral:rRNA from 1 species
AAUGAACGUUGGCGGCGUGGAUUAGGCAUGCAAGUCGUACGUGUACCCGCAAGGGGAAAGUGGCGAAAGGGAGAGGAAUACGUGGGUUACCAACCUUCUGGUCGGGGAUAGCGGCGGGAAACUGCCAUUAAUACCCGAUAAUGUCUGCGGACCAAGGGUGUGAUUCCGCCGGAAGACGGGCCCGCGUCCUAUUAGCUAGUUGGUAGGGUAAGGGCCUACCAAGGCAAUGAUGGGUAUGGGGCGUGAGAGCGUGCCCCCACUCACUGGGACUGAGACACCGCCCAGACACCUACGGGUGGCUGCAGUCGAGAAUCUUCGGCAAUGGGCGCAAGCCUGACCGGGCGACGCCGCGUGUGGGAUGAAGGCCCUUGGGUUGUAAACCACUGUCAGAGGGGAUGAAAUGCCAGAGAGUUCUCUCUCUGGUUUGACAUAGCCUCAGAGGAAGCACGGGCUAAGUUCGUGCCAGCAGCCGCGGUAAUAC